rnacentral:rRNA from 1 species
GUAGGGUGGGCAAGCGUUGUCCGGAAUUAUUGGGCGUAAAGCGCGCGCAGGCGGUCCUUUAAGUCUGAUGUGAAAGCCCACGGCUCAACCGUGGAGGGUCAUUGGAAACUGGGGGACUUGAGUACAGAAGAGGAAAGCGGAAUUCCAAGUGUAGCGGUGAAAUGCGUAGGGAUUUGGAGGAACACCAGUGGCGAAGGCGGCUUUCUGGUCUGUAACUGACGCUGAGGCGCGAAAGCGUGGGGAGCAAACAGGAUUAGAUACCCUGGUAGUCCACGCCGUAAACGAUGAGUGCUAAGUGUUAGGGGGUUUCCGCCCCUUAGUGCUGCAGCUAACGCAUUAAGCACUCCGCCUGGGGAGUACGGCCGCAAGGCUG